GGAGUCAGGUGCGAAGUCCGGCUCCCGUAGGAGUCCGGACGGAACUCACCAGCAGUUGAAGUUGGUGAUGGAGCCCGGCUCCCAUAGGAGUCCGGGCGGAGUCUUCUUGCAGUUGGAGUCAGGUGCGAAGUCCGCAAGGGUCAAUCCCGCUAAGAACUUCGGCUGAGGGUAUUUUAUACCCAACAGUAUAUAUGAGAUA
rnacentral:lncRNA from 1 species